AACAAAACAAAACCCAACCCAAAUAUCUAACCCUAGAGACACAACCCAUUAUAUAUAGUUUGCAAAUCCCUAACCCUAAUUCAUUAUAGCGCAACUUCUCCCUAAAAUACUUCUUUUGCCGAUUAUCUCUCUCUCCAUUGCCUUCUUUCUCUGCCUUUCCGCCCUCGACUUCUCUGGCUUUCCGCCAUCGGGAUCUCCGGCUCUCCGCUCUCGGCUUCUCUGGGUGUCCUCCCUCGGCAUCUACGGCUCAAACUCUUGGUGUCACCUUUCUUGCUCAUCGCUUGGUCGGAUUAUCGAUUCAUACUCCUUACCAGAUUAUCUCUCUCUCCAUUGCCUUCUUCGACUUCUCUGGCUUUCUGCCCUCGGGAUCUCCAGCUUUCCAGCCUCGGCUUCUCUAGGUCUCCAGCGGCUCAAACUCUUGGUGUCACCUUUUCUGCUCAUCGCUUGGUCGGAUUAUCGAUUCAUACUUCUUAUCGGGUAUAAAUUCCCUCUUCGGGUAUAAAUUCCCUCUUUCUAUAUAUAUAUAUAUAUAUAUAUAUAUAUAUUUUCUUGUAUGUGUAAAUUGGUUCUUGAAAUCAGCCGUUUUGCUAUCGGCUAAUCUCCAUUUAUAUUUUCUCUCUUUAUUUCCUGUUUAAAUGUAUAGUGUUUCAUUUUUAGAUAUUUUUCCAAAUCUAUAAAUGGAACUAUAUUUUUUUAUAUACAAAA